GAUGAACGCUGGCGGCGUGCCUAAUACAUGCAAGUCGAGCGAACGGACGAGAAGCUUGCUUCUCUGAUGUUAGCGGCGGACGGGUGAGUAACACGUGGAUAACCUACCUAUAAGACUGGGAUAACUUCGGGAAACCGGAGCUAAUACCGGAUGAUAUUUUGAACCGCAUGGUUCAAAAGUGAAAGACGGUCUUGCUGUCACUUAUAGAUGGAUCCGCGCUGCAUUAGCUAGUUGGUAAGGUAACGGCUUACCAAGGCAACGAUGCAUAGCCGACCUGAGAGGGUGAUCGGCCACACUGGAACUUAGACCCGGUCCAGACUCCUACGGGAGGCAGCAGUAGGGAAUCUUCCGCAAUGGGCGAAAGCCUGACGGAGCAACGCCGCGUGAGUUAUGAAGGUCUUCGGAUCGUAAAACUCUGUUAUUAGGGAAGAACAUAUGUGUAAGUAACUGUGCACAUCUUGACGGUACCUAAUCAGAAAGCCACGGCUAACUACGUG
rnacentral:rRNA from 1 species